rnacentral:lncRNA from 1 species
AUGUAGCCGGUGCUGUGACUUGUUUGUGCUCAUCUCUGUUCUGUAGGCAACUUGCCACUCCCUACUGAAUAAAGCUACAGUAAAAGAAAGAAAGGAAAACAAAAAAUCAGUAAGUUUGGAGAACUUUUUAUUAGCUGUUUCUUUCGAAGCAAACCCCAAAUCUUUGCUAUUUGUUAAGAACAUCUUCACUUCAGCUAUUUGACCUUCACUGUGAAAUCAUUCUACUAAUUCUGGCACAAAAUAGCUCUCAUUUCGAUUAACCCUGGAAUUAAGUUACAUUGAAACAUUCUCUGUGUUCCUUUGGUUUGAUUUACCCCAAAGGUAUUUUUUUGUGCAUUGAUUUAUUACAUUGAAUAUCCUUGAUCUAAUUUUAUUGUUAUUUUUAAAAUUAUAAAUGAAUGCGAAAGAAACUUAAUUUCAAGGCCUUAGGGGAUGCUGACUGUCUUCAUUCUUGCUUCUCGUUUGCGGGUCAUGUGAGUGGUUUCUUUUUCUAGAAACAAAAGCAUUUCUUGAUAAAUACAUUGUGGGUAGAAAUGUGACCUUCUCCUGUCCCAACAGACAUUAAAUUCAGGACGCACAUGCUAGAGCUACCAAAACCAAGGAUCAUUUCCUAACUCUAAUCUCAAAGUUACUAAGUUUUAAUGUUUACUCCUUAUAUUUUUACCUUGAUAGUAUCAGCCACCCCUGAUUUAGACAUUUGUGCUUAGAUCAUAGAAAUUUUAAUGCUGAUGUUCCUUUUACCUUAGAGGAAAUGCACAUUACAUCUCUGCAGUGAGGAGGAGGCUCAGUGAGGCCAUGCUCACACAGGAGCCCACUGUGCAAACGUGACCUGAGUAUAUUGCCUGCUUCUGACUUGGCCGUCUUGUGAAAGGAAGAAAGUUAUGAUUGCCAUAAUUAUUUUCUUCCUACGAAUAUCAUUUGUUCACAGUAUAACUUGCAUUCAUUUUUAAAAUAACAUCAUCUGUGGAUGUGACUUACCAUUAUCCAGUUUAGUCCUGUCUUUGUUCACUUAAUCCAAUUGAUUAUAGAGAAUGAUGUAAUUAAAGAAAACCCCCAAAAAACAAAACAAAAAAAACCCAAAACAACCUUUCACAAGUUGUAGGGAGUUUUAUUAAAAAGGAAUAAUUUAAAGUCAUAUUUGUCUGGUUUCAUCUUUCAUUUUCUACUUUUACAUAUAAUAAAGCUUUACAUUUAUAAUUGUAUUCAAAAUUCAGAACUAAAUUAAACUUCAGAGACUCAUACUUUUAUUAUGUCCAUUCAGAAUUUUCUUUUUGAGUGUACUAUGUGAAAUUGAUCAUCUCUGAACAAAUGGAUUGGAUUGGAUGGCUCUCCUGCUUAAAACAUUUUCCUCUAAUGCUUCAGCCUUCUAAUUCUCAGCAUUGUGGGUUUAACAUUAUACAUCAUCACUGUGGAAAUUAAUUUGCUGUUUCUAACAUUCUUGUUUACUGUUACACUAAUGUCAUUGUGUAGCAUAACAUAAUUAAAGUCAGGCUUUCUGUGUUUCUCUAGAGCAUGUAUUAUAGCUUUCCUAACAUUAUUAUGGUUUUAUAUAAAAAUUCCUUGGAAUUUUUUAGUAGAUAUUUCAUAUAUGUAUGAAAUUUUGGAAUGUAUUUCUCAGCCCAUGUGGCAGUCCUUAGGAAACUAAGGGGGUCUAAUUGGCAGUACUUCAGAACAGAUUCUAUAGUAUAAAGACAUGCUAAUCAUUAUAAAUUUAGAAUGUCAUGUUUUGAAAGUUGUUUAACGGAAUCUAAUUCUUUCUCCUUUGAGAGCAAGCUGACCUCCUUUGUAAUAAGUGAAAGAAAGUUUCGAGUUUGGGUGAUUAGCUAUGUUGACAGCUGAUUCAGUUGAUUGUACUCAACAUAGUGUGUACUUAGAUUACUGGAGCGGCUGCCUGCCUAACUCAAGACUUUCAGGAUUUCACCAUGUAUAGCUAGUGAUCCUCUGCUGAUAUGUAAUUUAUUAUAUGAUUUUUGUAGUUCAACUUUACCUAGGGAAGAGUGUGUAUGUGUGUAUGUGUGUUAGGGGCAAGGGAUAGCUGAUCAUUGACCUUACAUGUAGAAUAUCAUUUACAUCCAAAUUAGAUUUUUAUACACUUGGAAAUAAAGAACAACAUGCCAGGCAUGGUGGCACAUGCCUUUAAUUCCAGCACUCAGAAGGCAGAGGCAGGCGGAUCUCUUGAGUUGGAGACAACCUAGUCUACAAAGAAAGUUUCAGGAUAGCCAGGCCACACAGAGAAAUCCUGUCGCAAAAUGCCAAAACAAAACAAAACAAACAAAAAACUUAAAUAUGUGGUGUUGGAUAAAAUUCCAAAUUGAUGUUAAAUAGAAGUGAAAGAAAGAGUAGUCCUUUUAUAAAUUGACUCAUGAAACUUUUUAUACAGUAUCUCUUUAUUAAUUUUAAUUGUUAGGUUUUAGUUCCAAAAAUAUAGAUAUCACUGUCAAGGAGAUACAUAUUUACAAUAUGUGAAACUUUUUCUUUUUCUUUUUUUUUAAGAUUUACUUAUUUUUUUAUAUAUUUUAUGCAUAUGAAUACAUCACCACUGUUUUCUUCAGGCACACCAGAAGAGGGCAUCAGACCCCAUUACGGAUGGUUGUGAGCCACCAUGUGGUUGCUGGGAAUUGAACUCAGGACCUCUGGAAGAGCAGUCAGUGCUCUUAACCGCUGAGCCAUCUCUCCAGCCCUGUGAAACUUUUUCUGAAACAUGAAGUUUUGAUAAUAUUUUUUAGAGAUCUGGAAAGGGUUAAAAGUUAUAGUACUUUCAUAUUAAUUUUAUAAUACUCUUCUUAGAAGAUAAUUCAGACUUUCUUAUGAUCACAAGCUGAGUAUUUUCAAAUAUAAACGAGGAGACAAUGUAAGUUGUGCUUUUAUAAGAUCUUUAUUUCUAGAGACAACGAGCAAGUAGCAAGUUUUUGUAUUUUUAAAACAGGUCUUAAGUGCUAUAAGCACCCAACAGACCUUCAUAGCAGGCUGGCCUGAACUCAAGGCAGUGCUCUUACCUUCGUCUCUCCUUGCAGGGAUUACAUGUGAGAACUACCACACCCAACCUCUGAAACAACUACUUUCAAACAUACAUUAUAAAGGCUGUGUGCAGCCAUUGCUAAUACUUAUAAAGACACUUUCAUAGAAGUUUAAUAAACCAACUCCUUCCUUAAGGGCAAACUCUGAUGUUGGUUGAGCCUAUUAAAACUAUUUCAUGAUUUUGGUGGGUUAAAUUGAUAUUAUUAUUUUUAAAACAACCUGCCAAAAAGGGUUGGAGAGAUGGCUCAACGAUUAGGAACACUGACUGCUCUUCCAGAGGUCCUGAGUUCAAUACCCAGCAACCACAUGGUGGCUCACAGCCAUCUGUAAUGGGAUCUGAUGCCGUCUUCUGGGGUGUCUGAAGACAGCUACAGUGGACUCAUAAAACAAACAACAACAACAACCCCACCCUGCUUAAGAUAAAAGCACUGAUGGACUAGGAGCAUGACGUCCCUAAAGGGAGUGUUAGUCUUCUUCCUUCUUCAUGAUUUGCUCCCAAAACACUUCAUGGUCUUGUUAGCUUACUGGUAUUUUUGUCUCAGUUUGGAAAUUCUAAAUUUGGAAAUUCUAAAAGAACUCCAUGUCAACGUUGGUCUUUGCACAUGUUGAAAUUAUAUGAUGAAUCUGAUAUUUGCUUUUUUUUUUUUAAUCAGAUCUGAGAUUCUAGUACCUCAAAAGUUUAAAAACUGUCCUAGAAAAGUAAACUUGAAUUUUCUUAGUUUUAUAUGCAAAACUCUAUUUCAGCUAAAAAAACACAGCUAUAUUUAGCCAACUCCCCAAUUUCUCAGGAUUUCCUAAGGUUCUCCCUGGGUGCUGUAAGCACACAAAAGAACUGUAACCCAGAGAAGCUCCCCGAGCCACGGCACCGUAUACAAAGGGAACUGGAGCUCACAAACCUCUCUGAGCUCGUUCCUACGACUACCCCCCAAGGAAUCAUUUUCUGAAAUCUUUUUCUAAUUUUUUUUUUAUCAGAAACAAUAGAAAAUUAUUUUGAGAUUUUUGGGCCUUGGGUAAGGACACAUUUAUGAUACAACCCCUAGGGCUGGAGAGAUGGCACAGUGGUUAAGAAAAACUGGCUUUUCUCCCAGAGGGCCAGGUUCAAUUCCCAGUAACCAUCUGUGAUAGUAGUUCCAGCAGAUCUGACACCCUCUUUUGGCCCCUGAGGGUAUCAGGCUUGUAAGUGGUGUACAGACUUAUAUGCAGGC